rnacentral:lncRNA from 1 species
GGGUAGUUCUCGCUCACUCUCUUUCUCUCUCGGCCCCUCGCUCACACACUCCGUUUCCCUCUAUAAUGCAAGCAUUAGAGGCAAGCCGCGGGCUGCAAGCGAGCUUUGAUGUCGACCUCUUGCUGCCGGCCUUGGGUCCUCACAAAGAGGCAAAUGACCUGAUCAUCUUCUCCAGCAGGAUACUCAGCUCACAGAGGAGAAUUCCUUGUAGCCAGGAGCCUCUACACUUGGGGACAAUUGGGAAUUCUCUUGCAGAACUCUUCCCAUUUGAAGUUACCUCCAAAAAACCCACACCAUGGUUCCCAG